rnacentral:tRNA from 1 species
GGAGAGAUGCCUGAGCGGUUGAAAGGGCCGGUCUCGAAAACCGGUAGUGGGCUCGUCCUACUCGUGAGUUCGAAUCUCACUCUCUCCG